AGGAUUAACACUGCUAUUCCGAUUCAGAAAUAAAGUUAAACGACAGGCUUUGCCUAGACAGGUUAAUGGCUGGUGAUGACGGGGCAGAGCUGAGGCUAGGGUUCAACUCCGUAUUUUGUCUUCCGCUAUUGCACUAGCUUUUAUUUGUCUUUUGUUUCUCCAACUUAAGACUUUUAUGUUAAAUUCUGAAUUAUGUUUUUAUCGAGCUUAAACUCUCAACUUCUAGCUCUAUGUUAUUUAACGUUGGUUAUCGGAAGCAUGAAACCGAACUUGUGAUCCUAAGGCUUUGAAUGUUGUUGAUUGAUUAGUAUCACUUGAUUUCUAUCUUUCUUCAUUCAAAGGGCAUUGCCCAACAUUUUUAUUCUA